rnacentral:lncRNA from 1 species
GAGAAACAGAAGGACGAGGAGGAAGAAGAGUAAAAGAAAAAGGGAGGACGAGGAAGAAGAGGAAAGAGCAAGGAGGGAGGAGAGGAAGAGGAAAGAGCAAGAAGGAGGGAGAGGAAGAGAAGACACGAAAGCAAAAGGUUCGUCCACAACAAAGUUUGACUAAACAUUAGCGUAAUUAGAUUUUAUUUUUAUAAUUGUAUUAAAAUCCAUUUAAUGAUUAUAAUGUUUUCAAGCUUAGAGAUCAGUUUUAGCUUGAUGAUAUUGAUAAUGUUUUAUUCGAAAAUAUCCACAUAAAGGGAAAGGUUUUUAAGUGAAUAAUUUUAAAGUAAAUAAUAAAGUGAAUGAUUUUUAGAAGUUCUUUGUGACAAUAAUGUUCAUGUCCUACUUGAAGAACCUGGCCAAAUUCAAAACCUAGUUAACGUAAUUUUAUUGUUCGUAAAGGUUAAUUGUAUUCCUUAAUUUAGAUCAUGAUUAUCGUAAUGGUUAAUUGAAUCACUGAAUUUAUGUAGUGAUUAUCGGAAAUGUUAACUGAAUUACUUAAUUUAUAUAAUGACUAAUGAUUAUCCACAAAUAUCCUAAUCAAACAUUUAUAGCACAUGUGUCCCAAGAUCGCCACCAAGGUUUGUUUUUAUUAAAUUACUAAUUUGUCAAUGGAUCAACAAUACAUAUAUUACGAAGACUUUAAAAUUGCUAACAAGAAUCUCAGAUUUGAAAAAGGGUUAAAGUUUCUUUAUGUUACUUUGAUAUAACAUGGCUGCAAAUAGCAUAGUUUUUUUAUUAUCAUUAUCAUUAGUCUUAAAAACAUCUGCAUUACCAUUCAUAUUGGUAUAGUUAGUGCUGCUUCUAUUACUGCUAUCAUUUUUGUUACUUUUGUUAUUGUUGUUAUUGCUAUGUUUAUAAUGAUGCUAAUGAUUGUCAUUGAUGAUUGCCAUUUCAUUAAGGGUCAAUAUCACUAAUCAAAAAAAGAAAAAAAAAGAAAAAAAGAAAAAAAAAUCAUUAUCACUGAUAUGAAAAUAUAAAAGUAAAAUAUAGUCAAUCAAUCUUAUUACCCUUAUUGAUAAAACUAAUUACUAUACUCAUUCAUCACACUCAUUAUCAAUUAAUAUUUCUAACCCUUUUUAAAAUUCGUAAUGCUGAAGAGGAGAUAGGAACACAACUGAUUGGAAGAAAACCAUCUGUUCGCCGAGAUUGGGUGACCUUUCGCUGCUCUUUGGGAUCUGUGUUAGGACGCAUGAUGCUAAUGACCUGCGAUGAUCUGACCUGUCCUCGAUCACAAUUCAAGACCAUUUCCAGUUUUCAGUGUGUGAAUGAAACCCCGUCAAGAGCCUUCGGACCGGCAGCCUCCCCCGCUCUGUGGCCAAGUGUUCGUUAAUAACCACAUAUCUUUUGUAGAAGUUUAUGAUUUAUUUUUCGCCAAGCAGAAAUGUAUGCAUGAGUUGAAAUACCAAAUAAAAUUAUCCCCUGUUUA